rnacentral:rRNA from 1 species
UCUAAUACCGGAUACGACCCCAUGGGGCAUCUUGUGGGGUGGAAAGUUCCGGCGGUAUGGGAUGGACCCGCGGCCUAUCAGCUUGUUGGUGGGGUGAUGGCCUACCAAGGCGACGACGGG